GAUGAACGCUAGCUACAGGCUUAACACAUGCAAGUCGAGGGGCAGCAUGGUCUUAGCUUGCUAAGGCCGAUGGCGACCGGCGCACGGGUCAGUAACACUUAUCCAACCUGCCGUCUACUCUUGGACAGCCUUCUGAAAGGCUGAUUAAUACAAGUUUGUAUCAUGUGUCUGCACGUUCACAUGAUUAAAGGUUUUCUGGUAGACGAUGGGGAUGCGUUCCAUUAGAUAGUAGGCGGGGUAACGGCCCACCUAGUCUUCGAUGGUUAGGGGAUCUGAGAGGAAGAUACCCGACAUUGGAGCAGAGACACGGACCAAACUCCUACGAGAGGCAGCAGAGAGGAAUGUGAGGCAAUGGGGGCAGACCUGAACCAGCCGAGUAGCGUGAAAGAUGACUGCGCUAUGGGUUGUAAGCUUCUUUUAUAGAGGAAAAGAGUCGGGUAUGUAGACCCGAUUGAAUGUACUUUAUGAAUAAGGACCGGCUAACUCCGUG
rnacentral:rRNA from 1 species